UUAUCAGAGAAUAAAACAGUCUGUGUUGUCAGUCAAUCUGUAGAUGCUGUUGACUCCAGCUGAACACGGUGUAUUGCUCCUUGCACGUAUUCCGAAUAAAACCCAGGUAUCGAAACAAAGGUUGUGGUGAAGGUUACAGCGACAGGAAACAUCUUUUGAAAUUUCAGUCCUUCAGAAGUAUCACCCAUGCCCAAAUCAAGGAGGACUCAGUCUGAGCUAAACAUCACCCGCCGUUUCGUGGCUCCUCGGGAUACCACCAGCCAUGGAAUAAUCCAAUAGAGACAGACAGACGGACAAAAAUAAAUAGAAAAGGUAGAUCUCAUUGACUGCAGUAGAAUGUCAUUACAACUGCAAACAACAUUUGGGGUCCCAACCACCAAGAGGCUCGCUGCAAGAGGUUAUAUGGGUCUCCAGAGCAUCUCCGGAGCAAGUUCGGAAAAGUUCCAAAAUAGCAAUAAUCCAUGAUUUCAUUGUGCACGGCUGAUUGUUUUUCCUGAAAGAAAAUCUCACAUGUUUGGCAAGUACCUUUGUGACAAGGAGAUAGCAAGGGUUGUAAAUCCCUGAACAGCUAUUAUUGCACAACCAAACCGUGUAACUCAUAUA